CCCAGACAGCCAGGAUGUUGGCUUAGAAGCAGCCAUCAUUUAAAGAAAGCGUAAUAGCUCACUGGUCGAGUCGGCCUGCGCGGAAGAUGUAACGGGGCUAAACCAUGCACCGAAGCUGCGGCAGCGAACGUAUCACCCAAGACAACUUUACGGAGUUGACGAUUGACGGAGCGAAGCGACGUCAAAGCGUUCAUUAAAGUCGAGUUGGCUUAGGGAUACGUUCGUUGGGUAGGGGAGCGUUCUGUAAGCCUGCGAAGGUGGCCUGUGAGGGUUGCUGGAGGUAUCAGAAGUGCGAAUGCUGACAUAAGUAACGAUAAAGCGGGUGAAAAGCCCGCUCGCCGGAAGACCAAGGGUUCCUGUCCAACGUUAAUCGGGGCAGG
rnacentral:rRNA from 2 species